UACGAAGGGGGCGAGCGUUGUUCGGAUUUACUGGGCGUAAAGGGCGCGUAGGCGGCCCUCCUUGUCGCGUGUGAAAGCCCCGGGCUCAACCUGGGAAUGGCGCGCGAAACGGGCGGCUUGAGUUCGGGAGAGGAGCGUGGAAUUCCUGGUGUAGCGGUGAAAUGCGCAGAUAUCAGGAAGAACACCAAUGGCGAAGGCAGCUCUCUGGGACGGUACUGACACUGAGACGCGAAAGCGUGGGGAGCGAACAGG
rnacentral:rRNA from 1 species